AUCUUCAGGGUUAAUACCCUGAACACGCCUGAUCUUAUCUGAUCUUGGAAACUAAGCAGGGUUAGGCCUGGUUAAUACUUGGAUGAGAAACUGCCUGGAAAUGCCAAGUGCUGUAGGCU
rnacentral:rRNA from 1 species